AUUGAACGCUGGCGGCAGGCCUAACACAUGCAAGUCGAGCGAGCGGCGGACGGGUGAGUAAUGUAUGGGGACUGCCCGAUAGAGGGGGAUAACUACUGGAAACGGUGGCUAAUACCGCAUACUAUCGGAUAACCCAUAUGGGAUUAGCUAGUAGGUGGGGUAAAGGCUCACCUAGGCGACGAUCUCUAGCUGGUUUGAGAGGAGGACCAGCCACACUGGGACUGAGACACGGCCCAGACUCCUACGGAGGCAGCAGUGGGGAAUAUUGCACAAUGGGCGCAAGCCUGAUGCAGCCAUGCCGCGUGUAUGAAGAAGGCCUUAGGGUUGUAAAGUACUUUCAGCGGGGAGGCGUUACCCGCAGAAGAAGCACCGGCUAACUCCGUGCCAGCAGCCGCGGUAAUUC
rnacentral:rRNA from 1 species